rnacentral:lncRNA from 1 species
AAUUACUUUGUCUUUAUUUAAAUAGAAAAAAAUUAAAUUUAGAGACCUCUUGAGAUGAUUUUUGCAUGAAAGCUAGAUUAGUUUAAAGAAUCAUCAUCAUCAUUAAAUCUGCCAAGGCCUGAUGUCAUAAGUUAAUGUCCUUUGUACAACUGAAGCACUUGGAAUGUGGGAACUGACCCUGAUUAAGAUAAGAAGAGUCAUUCACCCAAGAAGUCAGCUUAAAACCAUGUCAAUUCAGUUUGACUUAAAUUAGGGCAAGAAUUCCAGUGACUUCUUUUUCUAUCUGAAUGGUCUUUCUCUAAUCAGCAACCUGUCUGAAUUGGUUAUGAACCCCCCAGGGUACAGCCCUGUUUCUGCAUGUUUUCCUCUAUGUCUCCAGGGGCUCACAUAUUAAAAUGCUAUUACACUGUUGGGAAAGUGGAGAAUAAGAGUCAUGCUGCAUCGCAAUCAAACCACAAGGUAUUUUUGGUGGACAAGUAUUCCAGGGCAAGAGGAUCUAGAGCAGCGUUGGUGAACAUUUUCAAAAUCCAGUACCCAAACUGCAACUUCAAGCUGCAUUAUCUCAGAGAGCAGAGGGAGGAAGUGCUUGCAUUUGGCUACUGGACAGAGGGGUGGGGGCAGGUGAAAAAAGCCAUUGGCAAGGGGGAACAGAGCAAACAGAGCAGUCCUACCCCCCCCCCCCCCGGCACACCUGGGCAUCUGUGCCAUGGCUUUGCCAACACAGACCUAGAGGUUUCAUCAGGCAGGAAUGGUAGUUACAGCAAUGGUCAUUAAAGCUAUCAUGACUGAUAGCUGUGAAAGUAACUGAUCAAGAAUAGAAAAUCCCACUGAAGACAAAGAGAUAUAGAGCAAAAUUUGAUUGAAAAAAGGCUGCUUCAAAGACUAUGAUCUCAGAGAUCACCACUUCAUAAAGAAAUGCUGGUUAUGGACUCUCU